CUCGCCCUACUCACCGUUAUUACAGCCGCCACCGGCUAGAUCCACCAACGGAGAGAAGGCUCGCAGCCACGGAGGAUGACAGUCACGCGGCCCUUCUGGCGCUGUUCGUCAGCGGUGCGCCAGUGGGCGGCCUCGAGGAUGGGCGGUGCGACGAGGGUCUUCCUUUCCCUGUUGUUCAUGCUAGAGACAACGUCCUUCCCCACCGAACGGGCCAAGCCCUGGCCUUCCUUUCCCUUUUAAACGAGCCAAAUCCUAACAAAAUGGGCUACCAACCCAUGAAGACCAUUCGUCUGUACAUGGUGCCAAAUGUUCACCCUUCGCACGCAGAACUAGAAUCAGAGGGAGUCAGGAGUUGAGAAUUUGGUAGAUGUUGAGGACAUCCGAAUGGACCCUUAUAAUAUAUGGAGAUACAUUGGAGAAAACCACCAUAUUACUAACUUUCAUCUAGAAAAACAUAUACAUCCGAAUGGACCCUUAUAAUAUAUGUAAAUCACAUACGGCUCAAAGCUAACUCCGCCUAUGUCUACUCCGCCUAUGUCUUCUCGGCAAUCGGCAUAGCCGGUCCCAAGCCCGGGUAAAGGAGGAGGGUUGUGAUAGGCUUGGCGAGCCAACAUAAAAACUAGCCAGUCCCAUAGGUAUGAAACCCAUUUGAGCGAGAGUAGUACUAGGAUGGGUGACCUCCUGGGAAGUCGUCGUGAAAGGGUUUCAUAUCUAAGGGUUGUGAUAGGCUUGGUGAGCCAACGUAAAAACUAGCCAGUCUUUUGGGUAUGAAACCCAUUUGGGCGAGAGUAGUACUAGGAUGGGUGACCUCCUGGGAAGUCCUCGUGAAAGGGUUUCAUAUCUAGCCUACCCCAACUUUUUUGGGAUUAAAGGCUUCGUAAGCAAGUAAGCAAGCAAGCACAGACGGCUCAAAGCUAUCCAUGUCUAGAAAAACAUGGAGUGAUACAAUACAUACAGCACGAAGUCAUAGUAAGAUUAAACAGCCAUG
rnacentral:lncRNA from 1 species